CGGGGUGUAGCGCAGCCUGAUAGCGCACUUGCUUCGGGAGCAAGGGGCCGGCGGUUUAAAUCCGCCCACCCCGA
rnacentral:tRNA from 1 species